rnacentral:lncRNA from 1 species
GAGUUGUGUGGCUCCGAGGGAGGAUCGCGUGGAGUUCACCAGUUUCCAUUCAGGUUGUGGCGCGCUAUUUUUUCCUCAUAAAAGGACUCUUGUGACCUUGCCUGGGGCCCGCAGUUAAAAGCUUUAGGGCUAGGACUUGGAGGAUGUGGAGGCAAAAGGGAAGGAGAGCCGGGGGAAGAAAAACCGAAAUGGAUUCAUUCUGUGUCCUUGGCUGGAGGAGGAGAAGAGAGGAGAGAAGAAGAGGAGAAGGGGACGUGCGAGCUUCUGUUCGGCUGCCUCUGUCCGCUGGAAAGUGCCCGGCGCCCCCGGGGCUGCGCGGGGCCGGGGGGAACUCUGCGCGGAUUUUGCGCUGGGAACCUGCCAAUCAAGGCGCUAACGAGCCGCCGCCACCCCGCGCUGGCACCCACCCCUGGGCCCCCUUCGGAACCCCAUUUCUGGCAAUCUCAGCAACACGUGGGGCUCUGGCAGCUUCUGCCGACGUUGCCAUCUUCCCUCCACCGCUCCUUCUCCUGCGUGGCGUCACCACCUCCCCAGCCAGGAGCCCCAAAUUUCGCCUUUCCUCCAUCACCUGCCCCACGGCUCUUCCAGAACCGGAUGCUUUUUUGUCCAAGUUGUUUCAAACCCCUCUAGAAACAGACACUGAAAUGAAGGCAGGUGAUGGGGGGAGGUUGGGACGUUGCCUUCCUGCCCUGGCCACAUCGCUGACCUUCCCCAGCGCUCGGCUCUUUGCCCCUAGAAUAAGAAUAAUAACAACAAACUUUUAG